UAUAAAGUUGGAGAUUAUGAAUAGUUCUCUUUAUUUGGGCACCUUGAGAACUAGGAAUCAGUGGUGCACCCGGCCAACAAAUUA
rnacentral:ncRNA from 20 species